AUAUAAGCUCUCUGGUCAUGACUGUGAGGCGACAGAAGAGAGACGGAACCAGGACUGACAACAACGCAAGCCUGAGAGGGUUUCCAAGAGCAAACUUGAGUGUGUGUGGACAUCAUCAGCUACAAUGAGCAUUCUCAAGGUGCUCACUGUUGCCCUUGUGCUGUUUGGAACCAGCAGUCUUUCUGC